rnacentral:lncRNA from 1 species
AUGGGCCUGAGGUGUGGGUGGGGGAGAUGCCAAGACCAGAAGGAGGGUGUCAACAGAGCAUCAGGAGGCACUGACCCCAGAGCCCCUCCACGUCCCCGGGAACGGCCGGCCCCCCGUCGCCGCCGAGGGCCCUCGGCCAGGAUGGACAGCCAGGGGAAGGCUGCUUGUCUCCACGCCUCUCCGACGGCUCUUCUUCCGGCCCCUCCAGCCCAGGUGGAAUCCUUGAAGCUGGAGUCAGGACUGCCGGGCUUGCGGAGACGUGGGCUCCCCAGGAAGUGCUGAGCCCAUGAUCAGAGCUGCACCCCCACAAGAAGUCACCAUGUGGAUCCCCAGAGGGGAUACUCCGGAAGUGCUUCCAUUCGGCCACCAGCAGCUGUGAUGUCCCCUGACCGUGCAUCCUGGGUCCCAGGGGAUGGUGGGUAGGGGAGCCAGGCGAGGAAGUGAGUCACAGCCCUGUGGGGUGAGCUCCCCGAGGGGAAGGGAUUGCGUAGAGUACUUGGGGGAAUUUGUGAGCCUUCAAGCUGGCCUCUGCUGCGACAGGGGCCAGCAGCCUCGUCCGCUCUGUAGUCCACUCCGGCUGCUCCCUGUAGCCAGGGGUGCGGCAUGGCAGGAACAGGCCACAGGGCAAGGGAGGAGUGUGGUGGGCUCAGAAGGCUCUGGGGAGAGGGUGCCUUGCUCCUGGUGCUGAAAGGACAGCGCCCGGCUUGGGCAGAGGCCGCGCCAAGUCCUGGCGGAAGCUUUUCCGCAAACUGGAGUGGGGCGUCAUGUGCAUCUGAAUUUUUCCACUCCUCUUCUCUGGAGCCUGUCAGUGCCGUCUUGGCAAAGAUGGUUUGAGCCUGAAAGCUUUUCCCAUCUAUUUUUAAAUAAAUGGAAUUCCUGUCACUUGCAUGAAAUUCACCCCAAAUGACUGUUGUCAAAGACCUGCUUUGCCUGGGUUGCAGCGGCGGGGGAACUUGUGACCUGACGGCUGACGGCACACAGUCCACGGUGUGCAGCACACAAAACCGAAAAACACGAUCGUGGAGAGGACGCCCCAGACAGAGGAAGCAGAGGUUUUCAAACCUCGAUGCAGGGAUCUCCUUCCAGAACCUCCGAGAGAUGUGGCGAAGCUGCUGGUGCCAGCGCCACUGUAGACAGGCAAGCAGGGGUUCGGGCAGACGGAGGCCACUGGCC